GUGUAUGUGUGUGUGUAUUGGAUAUGUGUCCAUCUCUCUCCUCCUGGCAGCUGUUAUUGCCCUAUUCUGCCGGCAGUAUGACAUCAUCAAAGACAAUGACUCCAGCAACAAUAAGGAGAAGGCCAAGCCGUCAUCAGAAAGGAGCACACCAGAGCACCAUAGUGGAGGACUGCUGAGGAGCAAGUUUCAUCCUUCUGUGCCGUCAAUCAACAUCAUUGAAGUUUGAGAAGAAGGAAGCUGAUGUUAAAUUUUAUUCUCACUCUCUCACUUCCAUCAGUUCAGGAGCGAAGUGAGAAAAGGGGAUUUUUCACAUCAUCAGUGGAAAAAGUGAUGACAAAAUUCACGCGUGCACACACCCAGUAUUUGUAGGAAAACACAAGUCUAAGCUAUAGAUACACACACUGAACACAAUCCAGAAAUCCUAUGAAAUCUCCACACCCCUACACACAGACACAAGGUACAGUAGCUACAAAGAUAUAUAAAUUAAUGUUAACCUAUGGUGCAGUUCACCAUGGGUUAACAUGGUGAUGUCUUCACUGCGUGCUUGGUAUGCUAUUGCAAUACAGCUUAUCUCUAGGAGGUAUGUAGUUGUGAGUUUAAAUAUGCAGUGUAUUUUUGAUAUUGGCAUGUACAAUUAGAUACUACAUUCACCUGUUAUAGACACCUCAACUCUAAAUAUUUCAACAUUUUUUUCAAUUGCAAAUAGUGUUUAUAUAGUGCCUAAUCACAAAUGUAUAAUGCUGUCUGACUGCUGUGAAUAUGAGUAGAUCUUUCUAAAGAAGAGAAAGCAGAUACACACAUCUAAAAUUCAUUUGGAAGAACUACCAUCAAUGCAUGUCUUAUUUUUUCCAAGAAUUCAAAUGAAAAUUUAACAUUCUGGAUAACCUUGUAUUUUUUCAUAUUUCAUACAAAAAAACAUGUUUGUACAUAUUUCAUACACUUCCUAAAUUAAACUGCAUGUGAGUAAUCUGCGUGUAGAGUAGCACUUGAUGUGCACUACCAGUCAAAAGUUCGGACACACCUUCUCAUGCAAUGCUUUUUAUUUCUUUGUAUUAUUUUCUACAUUGUAGAUUAAUACUGAAGAUUAACACUUUUUGCUUACAGCGCAAUUCCAUAUGUAUUGUUUUAUUGUUUUGAUGUCUUCAGUAUUAAUCUACAAUGUACAAAAUAAUUCAAUAAAAACCACUGAAUGAGAAGGUGUUUCCAAACUUUUGACUGGUAGUGUACAUUCUCAGUUAGAUGCCAAAAACGGAGAAAUAAACAUGACUGAAUUACUGUAGUGCUUUUUAAUGCUUUGUUUCUUCUAUUGUAUCUACUUUUAGAUAAGGGCAGUAUAUUUUACUUUCCAAUGUUUCAUUUUAGAACUUGUGCAUUUCCUGACAACUGUAUUUUGUUUCCUCAAGGGUGAAAUAAACCUGCUCAAUGUCCCAUUACAAAACUGAAACUAUUGUAACAAUGUUUCUUUCACUGAAAUUCAGAAAUCAUUUCAAUUGCGCAAAAAAUGCACUUUUGCAUGUAAAAUGCCCAUCAAACGUCACAAAGAUGUAUAGUGUGCAUUAAAUGCUGGUAGUUACAAUUAUUAAA